AAGGCGGGUUGUUCCGUCGCGGUCGAAAGACUGAGGAAAGUCCGGACAAGAAAGGGCAUCGCACUGCGGAAAGCGCAGGUGGGGGUAACCUUACGCCAGCCGUAACAGAAAGCAACCGCCCAGCAAUGGGUAAGGGUGAAAACGCGAGGUAAGAGCUCACGACUGGCCGUGGCGACACGAUCAGGGUACGGCACUGCGACUUGCAAAACCAAAUAUACUGACAGAUGAGGGCUGCCCGUCCGAUGUCAGGGGGUAGGUUGCGAAGAUAAAUGACGGAUUAAAACAGAAACCGGCUUACUUUCCCGCCUUUCAA
rnacentral:RNase_P_RNA from 1 species